ACUCCUACGGGAGGCAGCAGUAGGGAAUCUUCCACAAUGGACGAAAGUCUGAUGGAGCAACGCCGCGUGAACGAUGAAGGCCUCGGUCGUAAGUUCUGUUGUAAGGGAAGAACAAGUGCCGCAGGCAAUGGCGGCACCUUGACGGUACCUUGCGAGAAAGCCACGGCUAACUACGUGCCAGCAGCCGCGGUAAUACGUAGGUGGCAAGCGUUGUCCGGAAUUAUUGGGCGUAAAGCGCGCGCAGGCGGCCUCUUAAGUCUGAUGUGAAAGCCCCGGCUCAACCGGGGGAGGGCCAUUGGAAACUGGGAGGCUUGAGUAUAGGAGAGAAGAGUGGAAUUCCACGUGUAGCGGUGAAAUGCGUAGAGAUGUGGAGGAACACCAGUGGCGAAGGCGACUCUUUGGCCUAUAACUGACGCUGAGGCGCGAAAGCGUGGGGAGCAAACAGGA
rnacentral:rRNA from 1 species